AGAGUUUGAUCCUGGCUCAGGAUGAACGCUGGCGGCGUGCUUAACACAUGCAAGUCGAACGAGCCUUCGGGCUAGUGGCGGACGGGUGAGUAACGCGUGGGAAUCUGCCCUCAGGAGGGGGAUAACGGCCGGAAACGGCCGCUAAUACCCCAUAUGCCGAGAGGUGAAACGAAUUUCGCCUGGGGAUGAGCCCGCGUCUGAUUAGCUAGUUGGUGAGGUAAUGGCUCACCAAGGCUUCGAUCAGUAGCUGGUCUGAGAGGAUGAUCAGCCACACUGGGACUGAGACACGGCCCAGACUCCUACGGGAGGCAGCAGUGGGGAAUUUUCCGCAAUGGGCGCAAGCCUGACGGAGCAACGCCGCGUGAGGGACGAAGGCCUCUGGGCUGUAAACCUCUUUUCUCAAGGAAGAAGACAUGACGGUACUUGAGGAAUAAGCCACGGCUAAUUCCGUGCCAGCAGCCGCGGUAAUACGGGAGUGGCAAGCGUUAUCCGGAAUUAUUGGGCGUAAAGCGUCCGCAGGCGGCCUUGAAAGUCUGUUGUUAAAGCGUGGAGCUCAACUCCAUUUAAGCAAUGGAAACUACAAGGCUAGAGUGUGGUAGGGGCAGAGGGAAUUCCCGGUGUAGCGGUGAAAUGCGUAGAUAUCGGGAAGAACACCAGUGGCGAAGGCGCUCUGCUGGGCCAUAACUGACGCUCAUGGACGAAAGCCAGGGGAGCGAAAGGGAUUAGAUACCCCUGUAGUCCUGGCCGUAAACGAUGAACACUAGGUGUCGGGAGAAUUAACCCUUCCGGUGUCGUAGCCAACGCGUUAAGUGUUCCGCCUGGGGAGUACGCACGCAAGUGUGAAACUCAAAGGAAUUGACGGGGGCCCGCACAAGCGGUGGAGUAUGUGGUUUAAUUCGAUGCAACGCGAAGAACCUUACCAGGGUUUGACAUCCUGCGAAUCCCUUGGAAACGAGGGAGUGCCUUCGGGAACGCAGUGACAGGUGGUGCAUGGCUGUCGUCAGCUCGUGUCGUGAGAUGUUGGGUUAAGUCCCGCAACGAGCGCAACCCACGUCUUUAGUUGCCAGCAUUCAGUUGGGCACUCUAGAGAGACCGCCGGUGAUAAACCGGAGGAAGGUGUGGAUGACGUCAAGUCAUCAUGCCCCUUACAUCCUGGGCUACACACGUACUACAAUGCUACGGACAAAGGGCAGCAAACUCGCGAGAGCUAGCAAAUCCCAUAAACCGUGGCUCAGUUCAGAUCGUAGGCUGCAACUCGCCUACGUGAAGGAGGAAUCGCUAGUAAUCGCAGGUCAGCAUACUGCGGUGAAUACGUUCCCGGGCCUUGUACACACCGCCCGUCACACCAUGGAAGUUGGCCCUGCCCGAAGUCGUUACUCCAACCCGCAAGGGAGGAGGACGCCGAAGGUGGGGCUGAUGACUGGGGUGAAGUCGGAACAAGGUA
rnacentral:rRNA from 1 species